CGAGGCUUACACAUGCAGUCGAGGGGUAACAGAUCUUCGGAUGCUGACGACCGGCGAACGGGUGAGUAACACGUAUGCAACUUACCCAUAACUCGGGAAUAGCCCAAAGAAAUUUGGAUUAAUACCCAAUAAUACAGGCGUACCGCAUGGUAUUCUUCGUUAAAGAAUAAUCGGUUAUGGAUAGGCAUGCGUUCUAUUAGGUAGUUGGUGAGGUAACGGCUCACCAAGCCGACGAUGGAUAGGGGAACUGAGAGGUUGUCCCCCCACACUGGUACUGAGACACGGACCAGACUCCUACGGGAGGCAGCAGUGAGGAAUAUUGGUCAAUGGACGAAAGUCUGAACCAGCCAAAUCGCGUGAAGGAAGAAGGUAUUAUGUAUCGUAAACUUCUUUUGUAAGAGAGUAAAGUGCACUACGUGUAGUGUAUUGCAAGUACCUUACGAAUAAGCAUCGGCUAAUUCCGUGCCAGCAGCCGCGGUAAUACGGAAGAUGCAAGUGUUAUCCGGAUUUAUUGGGUUUAAAGGGUGCGUAGGUGGUCUAAUAAGUCAGUGGUGAAAUCUCUUUGCUUAACAAGGAAAUUGCCAUUGAAACUGUUAGACUUGAGAAUGGACGAGGUAGGCGGAAUUCGUAGUGUAGCGGUGAAAUGCAUAGAUAUUACGAAGAACUCCAAUAGUGUAGACUGCUUACCAGACCAUAUCUGACACUAAAGCACGAAAGUGUGGGUAUCAAACAGGAUUAGAUACCCUGGUAGUCCACACAGUAAACGAUGAAUACUAACUGUUUGCGAUAUACAGCAAGUGGUCGAGCGAAAGCGUUAAGUAUUCCACCUGGGAAGUAUGCCGGCAACGGUGAAACUCAAGGAAUUGACGGGGCCCGCACAGCGGAGAACAUGUGGUUUAAUUCGAUAAUACGCGAGAACCUUACCCGGGCUCGACGAUAUUUGAUACAUCCGAAAAGAUGUAGCUAGCAUAGAAAUACCGAGUGCUGCAUG
rnacentral:rRNA from 1 species